GUACAUCUGAAACUGCUGAGGCUGGGAAGGUUUUUGACUAUAUUUCCGACCAGAUCAGCUGCUAUAGAAGACAAACUGAAAUCUGAGUGCAGAGACAAGCAAAGGAAUACUGCAAGGCACUUGUGCAAAAUAUUGUAUGCCAGGACGACUAGGCUGUGCCCAGGUCUCCGGAACCUGCGACGACGCUCAGCUCCAUCGGCCCUCCAUCUACAUCUUGGCUCCUCCCUCCCUCGACUCCGC